rnacentral:rRNA from 1 species
CCAGACUCCUACGGGAGGCAGCAGUGGGGAAUAUUGCACAAUGGGGGAAACCCUGAUGCAGCGACGCCGCGUGAGUGAAGAAGUAUUUCGGUAUGUAAAGCUCUAUCAGCAGGGAAGAAAAUGACGGUACCUGAUUAAGAAGCCCCGGCUAACUACGUGCCAGCAGCCGCGGUAAUACGUAGGGGGCAAGCGUUAUCCGGAUUUACUGGGUGUAAAGGGAGCGUAGACGGCAGCACAAGUCUGGAGUGAAAUGCCGGGGCUUAACCCCGGAACUGCUUUGGAAACUGUGCAGCUGGAGUGCAGGAGAGGUAAGCGGAAUUCCUAGUGUAGCGGUGAAAUGCGUAGAUAUUAGGAGGAACACCAGUGGCGAAGGCGGCUUACUGGACUGUAACUGACGCUCAUGCACGAAAGCGUGGGUAUCGAACAGGAUUAGAUACCCUAGUAAC